CACGUAGGGUGCGAGCGUUGUCCGGAAUUAUUGGGCGUAAAGAGCUCGUAGGCGGUGUGUCGCGUCGGCCGUGAAAACCUGCAGCUUAACUGUGGGCGUGCGGUCGAUACGGGCAUCACUGGAGUUCGGCAGGGGAGACUGGAAUUCCUGGUGUAGCGGUGAAAUGCGCAGAUAUCAGGAGGAACACCGGUGGCGAAGGCGGGUCUCUGGGCCUUACCUGACGCUGAGGAGCGAAAGCAUGGGGAGCAAACAGG
rnacentral:rRNA from 1 species